AUAUUGGACAAUGGGCGCAAGCCUGAUCCAGCCAUCCCGCGUGCAGGAAGAAGGCCCUAUGGGUUGUAAACUGCUUUUGUCAGGGAAGAAACCUUCGGAUUUAUCCGGAGCUGACGGUACCUGAAGAAUAAGCACCGGCUAACUCCGUGCCAGCAGCCGCGGUAAUACGGAGGGGGCUAGCGUUGUUCGGAAUUACUGGGCGUAAAGGGCACGUAGGCUGGCUGUUAAGUCGGGGGUGAAAUCCUGAGGCUCAACCUCAGAAUUGCCUUCGAUACUGGCGGUCUCGAGUGCGGGAGAGGUGAGUGGAAUUCCCAGUGUAGAGGUGAAAUUCGUAGAUAUUGGGAAGAACACCAGUGGCGAAGGCGGCUCACUGGCCCGCAACUGACGCUGAGGUGCGAAAGCGUGGGGAGCAAAC
rnacentral:rRNA from 1 species